rnacentral:rRNA from 1 species
AUUGAACGCUGGCGGCAUGCUUUACACAUGCAAGUCGAACGGUAACAGGCCUUCGGGUGCUGACGAGUGGCGAACGGGUGAGUAAUGCAUCGGAACGUGCCCAAUCGUGGGGGAUAACGUAGCGAAAGUUACGCUAAUACCGCAUAAGCCCUGAGGGGGAAAGUGGGGGACCGCAAGGCCUCACGCGAAUGGAGCGGCCGAUGUCAGAUUAGCUAGUUGGUGGGGUAAAGGCCCACCAAGGCGACGAUCUGUAGCGGGUCGUGAGAGGAUGAUCCGCCACACUGGGACUGAGACACGGCCCAGACUCCUACGGGAGGCAGCAGUGGGGAAGUUUUGGACAAUGGGCGGCAAGCCUGAUCCCCCAGCCAUGCCGCGUGAGUGAAGAAGGCCUCGG